rnacentral:rRNA from 1 species
AGAAUCAACGCUGGCGGCGUGCCUAACACAUGCAAGUCGAACGCGAAAGCCCCGCAAGGGGUCAGUAGAGUGGCAAACGGGUGAGUAACACGUGGGUGAUCUGCCUCAGAGUGGGGGAUAACGACCCGAAAGGGUCGACUAAUACCGCAUAACAUCCUGCGCUUGGAUGGCGUGGAGAUCAAAGUUGGGAUUCGCAAGAACCUGACGCUUAGAGAGGAGCCCGCGGCCGAUUAGCUAGUUGGUGAGGUAACGGCUCACCAAGGCAACGAUCGGUA